rnacentral:rRNA from 1 species
AUUGAACGCUGGCGGCAUGCCUAAUACAUGCAAGUCGAGCGAGCGGCGGACGGGUGAGCAGUGUCUGGAAAACUGCCUGAUGGAGGGGGAUAACUACUGGAAACGGUAGCUAAUACCGCAUACCACCCGAUGUGCCCAGAUGGGAUUAGCUAGUAGGUGGGGUAAUGGCUCACCAAGGCGACGCUCCCUAGCUGGUCUGAGAGGAAGACCAGCCACACUGGAACUGAGACCAGGUCCAGACUCCUACGUGAGGCAGCAGUAGGGAAUCUUGGGCAAUGGACGCAAGCCUGACGGAGCGAUGCCGCGUGUGUGAAGAAGGUUUUCGGUUUGUAAAGCACUUUCGGCGGGGAAGCGUUACCCGAAGAAGAAGCCCCGGCUAACUCCGUGCCAGCAGCCGCGGUAAUUC